UUACCUUUUUCCAAUAGUACAAUCUGAAAGAGUAACGAAGCAUUAGCUUGUUAGGAAGGUUUUCUGUAACUGGGACAUCAGCAAAUCAAACAAAGACUUUCAAAUUAUACUCUACAGGAAAGAGGUUGCACUGUUGACGUGUUAGUGCAAGAUCAUUCUUGAAAACUUCAUCACAGUAAAGGAGGCAAGUUGGCAAGAUCCAAAUGAGCAAUGGGCUCAUGCCAUGAAUCUUAACAACUGGAGACUAUGUCUCUAUUACUUUAAGCUGCAGGAGAUUUUGAUAUUUAGAAAUAUUGUACUCAUUUACAGGAAUAAGAGAAAAACAUGGAGAUGCAAAGGAAGAGAAAGAGGAGAGACUACUUGUUUUCUAAGCCACAUCAGAAUCCUUUCUUCACUCAACUUUUCAAGAUGCGCCUGGCCAAGAUCCUUCUCCCUGUGCGGAACAGUGACAACUGCAUAACAAUUCAUCAUCUACUGUUUCUUUCUGGAGUAAUGGCAUAUCUCUGAUUUCCAUUGAGAAAGCAGGCAAGCAGCAUGGAUGGCCCAGGACCCUGGAGCCAGAGCUGAGGUAUAGAUGACCUCAUGGGCAUCCAUUGCAGAUUGAUACACCUAUGUUCUCCUCCAUCACUGACAUAUAGCCAUUAUCAGUUGUUGACAAGUGUUGGACUCAAUAGUCUCCUGCAAAGCAAAUUCCAUAACAGGUAUGUAGAGUUUUUUUACCGCAGUCUUCCUUGCUUGAAGAUUAUUAGUACUAUUAAUACUUUCAUUAUUAGUAAUAGCUAAGAUAUUUCUUACUGAAGUAUAGGCCCAUGUAAGUACAUGGCCAUACACGCAUCCACAGUGAGAUUGUGGCCCUGCUAACUGCAAUGUAAGAGACAUCCCGAGGCAAAUUAGAAGGUCUGUGGCUGAGGAAAGAAACUUCCUGAAAGUGUGCUCUCAGAUGAUGGUCCCAGUAUAAAGGGUAGUAUUUUGAUUGGUUAAGAGUAGUGGCACCAUCAUAAGCAUAAAGAAGAAAGAAAGGUGCAGUGCUAAACAAAAGCUGCACCAGUUGUUGUGAAAACUGGGAUGAAGGGAAUUGACAGAUAUUUACAUUGCAACCUGUCAUACUGAGGAUCGGGGAACCUGUGAAAGAAGGCAAUUAUGUAUCAGUUCCAUAGAGUCAAAGAUAUUUCCCACAACAAAUAAUAAACAAAAAAGCCCAAACUAAUAAUGUUUAAAU
rnacentral:lncRNA from 1 species